GUAUAUAUAUUACAUAUGCACACACAUACCCAGGCAACAAUAUAUAUGAUUAUAUAUAAUCAUUAUAUAUAUGAUUUAUGUGUAUAUAUAUAUAUACACACCCAGGUGAAAUAUGAUUAUAAUAUAUAUAAAUAUAAUCCAUAUAUAUAAAUGGGCAUCACUGCCCAUUUUUAAUAGCCUAGGAUAGCGACAGGGCUCAGGGAAGCCACUGUCUGGGAGUGGCUAGGAACUGGCUGGCUCUUCCCCAGUGUGUGUGUGUGUGUGUGUGUAUAAUAUAUAUUUUUUUUCAUAUAUAUAAUAUAUAUGAUUUAUACUUUAUUGAGCCCUCGUAGUUUGGUGACAGUCAAGUGGCUGGGAGGUAGGACAGCAAUGCUCUGAUUAGCAGCAUGUAAGACUCACCUCCAGGCAAAUCCUGUGGUUUGCAACCAGAAAGAUCUAGCAGGUUGAGGCCCUCCUCUGCCAGCCACACUUCAGCAGCAACCACAAUCCACAAAAUUCCCCCAUUCGCACUAUUGCCUUGCAAUGGAUCUAUAGUAUGAAGUUAGAAUAAGCCUGUCAUUUAAGCCACUGGGAUGCGGAGAGUUUCCCUUUUACAUCAUGGCUCAGCUUAACCUGAUUGAUAUGACCUGUAAAUCCCACUGGCUUGAUACAGCAACAUCCUUUGGGGUGAGCAGCUCUUUCUGGGGACCCAACUCCCGCCACAGCCCAGCCAAGUUUUCAGCACCUGGCCGUGGAUGGUGGAAAAUCAGAUGAAGUCUCGCCAAGCCUGUCCUUGUAAGUGGGCUGCUGGAGCUCUAGUUCCUGGCCACCAGAAACAGAGAGACAAUCUGAGUAUUUAAGCACUAUUCCGAGAGCCUGAGAUCCGAUUAGGCAGCGGCUUAACAACUAGGAAAAUAACAGCCUUAGCACACCCUCUCCAAUCAGCCAGCUUCAGGGGAGACGGUUCAGGAAAUCAGUCUUGCCCCCUUGGUGCAGUAGGCAGCCAUGCUUUGUAAAGAAUCUUUUUAGUUACUCUUUGACAGUUUCAAACAUGUACGCAUGCAGCUUGAUCAUCUGCACCCAGCUCCCAGCUCCCACUGAGUCCGCCUGGCACUGGGAGGUUGGCUAUUCUUGCUGGCUUGAUCUUAUACAGGUCGUGUGCGGGUAGUCAUAGCAACGGUAAGUUCAUGGGUGAACUACUGGUCAUGCCAUGUCCAAAGGACAGUAUUUCACAGCACUUCUUCCUAACUUCCAGCUCUUAAAUUCAUUCUUCUUCCAUAAUAUUGCAGUGUGUGUGUGUGUGUGUGUGUGUGUGUGUGUGUGUGUGUGUGUGUAUGCAAAUGUCCCAUUUAGGGCUGAGCACUCAACAGUAAUUUAUUCUCAGUACUUUGAAAAGUCAGAAGUCUCUGCAUUUACUGAUGACCGCUGCAGAGAGAGAUUGAGGGUAGCUAUGAUUGAUUGAUUGAUGAAUAUAAACAUCGACAGUUGGAACACAGUUUGACAAUAUGGCCACUUAACAAUACAACAGUAGGUUUUCCCUAAGCCUUAGGACCUAUGGUCUCUCCAGUCAUUGACUUUUGACAAGAUUUAUGGUGCCAGGCAUGAAUCAAUUCCCAUGGAGCAGGGUUCAAAUCCAAUCCAAAGCAGUUGGGUACCUCCUACACAUCUGUGCCUCUAUUGCAUCAGUGAGCGCAUCCUUAGUAGGGUGCAGGGUUGGCCACAGGUAUAGCAUCGAUAUCUUUUUUCUCCCUCAUCACCUACAACCUGCACAAUACCUUUCAGCUCCACGAAAGCAAGCCAGCAGGGAGGAAAUCUUCAGGCCUGCUAGCAGGAGCAGUCCUUGACUGGUAGUCACUACUACAGAGUGGACUUUAACAAUGGCAUCUGAACACCCUCGGUGGGUACAUCUCUCUGCUCUGUGGAGCUUUAGGAAGGACCUGCCCAUGAAGGUCACCAGAAAGACCUGAAGAAUAUGGCAGGAGUUUUGCAUUGUAGAGGGUCCAAGAGAGAGAAGGGGGUGCUUCAACCAAGCGAAGGUCCACACUGACUACACAUGGUGACUGCUAAUCACCAUAUGCUUCUAGAACCGCCCCCCUCUCUCUCUGGCCCAUUGCAAUCAUUGGUUUGCACACGACACUGUGUAUUGUUCCAUCCACACUGUAAGAGCCCAGAGACCAACAGUGUCUCUACAGGCCCCAGCAGACUGGUAGCAAUGCUCUGCUUAGACAACAUGUGUUAGCCACGGCCCCUCAGUUGAGUGCUUGUGAGAAGCUUCAUUCCUGCAAGGCAGAUGGCCAUUGUGACACCCCAAGGCUGCUUCAACGAGACAAGCAAAGGAGCUCCCACCUUCAUGUGGCUUGACAGCUUGCCCUGCUGGCCUGUCAUCCGAGUGUCAAAGCAGCUUCUUCAGAUACUUCGUUUUCUGGACUUCAUCCAAGAAGCUGUUGGACACAGAGAAACUGAGAAACUGCCAGUCACUUUCUCAGCUUCUUCCUCGAGAGAGUCUGCGUGUCAAAAAAACUGUUAUUAGGAAUGUAAACACUGCAGACAUUUGAGCUAGCAAGCAGAGAUUCAACCCCUCUUCACUGUUGUUCAAUGUAUUCCAAGGCAGAUGUGGUUGAUUCUUCUAAGAGCACCCAGCCAUCCUUCCUCUGCAGAGCUGGUGAAGGUAGCUGGGUAAUACUUCAGAGUGGGCUGGACAGAAGUCACGAGGAGACAACCAUAGGAUGGUGGUUCCAUGUGUGCACAGGGCUGAGGGGUGACCCCUUCGAUGUCUUCUCCAAGAUGUGAGAGGAAGUCGCUGCCUUCUACAUUCAUAGCCCUGGCUUGGGAACAGAUUUCUGGAUGUCCCCACUGAAAUAGGUGAGAUCAAGUCUCCCGCCUCCCCUGAGCAGCACCACCCAGGCCUCUCUCCCUUGGCUUCCCAGGAGUGCAGAGAAAGAAGCUGAGCAAACUUUGGGGCCAAGGGAGAUGCUACACUCCGAGCCAAAAGGGCAGGUGAAGACCAAAGAGGGUGUGAGUAUGUCCUCUCAGGGGACAGGCCAGGCCUAGAACCACUGUGCCACAAAUACUAUGCACCAGGUGCCUCAGCAUGUCCUCUCAGGGGACAGGCCAGGCCUAGAACCACUGUGCCACUGUGCCACAAAUACUAUGCACCAGGUGCCUCAGCAGAGAGCAAUUUCUAUUCUUACAGUUCUGAGUCACAGAUCAAGCUACCACCAUUGCUCUGGUGGUCUCUCUUCUUUGCUCACAGAAGGCCCCUACCCUGCACCUGCGGUGACUGAAAGGUGCAGAGGAGACUGGUAAAGCACAUCUCUGGGUAUCUCUGAGAGGGCUUUUCCUCCCACGGUUGGUUCCCUGAGGGCCAUGAUCAACCAGUGAUUGACUUCACUGAAGGAAGUAUGGCACCAGGAGAGCCCUGGGUCGUUCCCAGCAUGCUCUCUGCUUUCUGUCCACUUGCAGAUUAAGAUGUGAGCCCUUAGCUUCUGUUUCAGUUACCGUGGCUGCUGCUCCUUUCUUUCUGCCCUUUGGAGCCAUAAGCCCCAAAUAAACUUUCUUUUAUAAGUUA